CCCUUAGAUGUCCUGGGCUGCACGCGCGCUACACUGAUGUGUCCAGUAAGCACCUAACCUCUUCCGAAAGGAACGGGUAACCUUUGCAAAGCACAUCGUGAUGGGGAUAGAUUAUUGCUAUUAUUAGUCUUGAACGAGGAAUUCCUAGUAAGCACAAGUCAUCAGCUUGUGUUGAUUACGUCCCUGCCCUUUGUACACACCGCCCGUCGCUCCUACCGAUUGAAUGUUCCGGUGAGCUCUUCGGACUGCGCGGUCUGCAGUUUCUGCGUUCCGUGCGGAAAGUUGCGCAAACCUUAACAUUUAGAGGAAGGAGAAGUCGUAACA
rnacentral:rRNA from 1 species